rnacentral:rRNA from 1 species
UAAUACGGGGGGAGCAAGCGUUGUCCGGAAUUACUGGGCGUAAAGGGCGCGUAGGCGGAUUUGUAAGUCAGAAGUGAAAUCUAUCGGCUCAACCGAUAAACUGCUUCUGAAACUGCAAGUCUUGAGUAAGGCAGAGGAAAGUGGAAUUCCUGGUGUAGCGGUGAAAUGUGUAGAUAUCAGGAAGAACACCAGUUGCGAAGGCGGCUUUCUGGGCCUUUACUGACGCUGAGGCGCGAAAGCGUGGGGAGCGAACAGGAUUAGAUACCCUGGUAGUCCACGCCCUAAACUAUGUGCAGUAGGUGUUGGAGGUUCGACCCCUUCAGUGCCGCAGCAAACGCAAUAAGUGCACCGCCUGGGGAGUACGAUCGCAAGGUUG